AUUUGGUUUUCUUGCGAAGGUUUUUUCAACAUUUGAGGAAUUAGGUAUCUCAGUUGAUUGCGUGGCUACUAGUGAAGUCAGUAUUUCUUUGACACUAGAUCCAUCGAAGAUUUGGAGCAGAGAAUUAAUUCAGCAGGAACUUGAUCAUGUGGUAGAAGAGCUGGAGAAAGUUGCUGUUGUCCAUCUUCUUCAGAACAGAUCAAUAAUAUCUCUGAUCGGGAAUGUGCAGCGGUCUUCAUUGAUACUAGAAAAGGCAUUCAGUGUUCUCCGUAAGAAUGGAGUGAAUGUUCAGAUGAUCUCACAAGGUGCAUCA
rnacentral:misc_RNA from 1 species